ensembl:lncRNA
CCCACUUUGUUUUGCAUUCUGUGAUGUCCUUAGCAGAAUAUGCCAUGCUUGCAUCUAUCUAGCAAGUUGGAACAGUGAUAGCAAUUUUAAUUAAUCACUGCAAGGUUCUAUUUUGCAUGAAGAAGGCUCAGCCUCUUUGACCCAUUAAUUAAAUUGUGGAAUUUACAGUUUCUUGAAAAUGUUGAAGAAGUAAAGGAUUAGACAGAUCUGAGCUUUAUUUGAAAUGGAAAUUGAGACACAUUGGACUGCAGAUAGCGAAGAGAGGAGUGACAUGUUAAAAAGGGCUUCAAGUUCAACAGCCAUCUACUAAGCCAAAGCCAACUAGAGGCAGGAAUUUUCCGUGACAGAAAUAAUACAGCAGCAGGAGUCAAUGGGUUAGAUCUUCGGGGCUAAAUCAGCCAAGUGCCUUUAAACCCUGCAGAAACUCCGACUUCCACAGCGAGAAUUUCGUUAUCACUUUUUCUUUUGGAUCGUGCAACUGGAAACCUCAUGGAAACAACAUGGAAACCUUCUUCUCUGCCGAAGGAAGUUAUGAAGAGCAUUAGGAGCUGCAGAAUGGGUACUGUAAAGUUUUUACAAACCAGUUUUUGAAAUGAGAUGCUUCUAGCUCAGGAGAGCAUUGAAGGCACAUUUAAAUCCUCCUGAAAACUCUAAGCCAGUGCUUAAGUGCUUUUUGAAAUCAUCGCUGGGGAACACAUCAUUUCUUAACUGCUUUGAAGAAAGUGCUGUAAUGUCAGUGCAUCAGCAGAGGAGGAAGUGCUACUUCUGGGUAAAAUUCAGCUUACGAUGGAAGAGUCACAGUGCUAAUGAUGGAACCAGAAAAUAAUCUGAAGCUUUUUGCCAAACAUACUGAUGUGAUGAAUGAAUUAACCAAGGAGCAUAAUACCUCAUUGCCAACUGAGAGCAAAUCCUUGAAGUUCAGUGCUAUUCCACUUAAAAUAUUUCAGUUGGAUCUCAAACCAAGAUGUGCAGAAGAAUUGUUACCACUGAAGAAGCUGGAUUUUUUGUCAAGAAGGAGUCUCAUGAUUCCUUUGCUUCAGGGAAAUUUAAAUGAAGAAACGUUCAGUUUGGAGGUUUGCCUAUUCUACUUGGAAAAUGUUAAAAAAUGGGUUGAAGAAAACAAGAAGAGCCAGAAAAGACUGCAAAGGAAAAUUGCCAUAUUUUUAGUCAAGUUUAUAAAUUUUUCCCUGGGACUUUUUGACAAAUGACUGCUCACCAACUUUGUGAGAAUUUCUCCUGGACAUUGCUCAGAAACUUCUGGCAUUUUGCCAUGCAGGUUUGCCUGCUAGAAUUUCUCAAAUGUUUUUUUUUAUUUUUCAUGGGAGGAGGCUGUUUUCUCAAGGAGUGUUGGUGCCUUUUCCAUCCAGUCUCUCUCACUUUUCUUUUCCUAAGUACAGACUUGCUUACAUUCAGAUUAAUUUUGGGCAAGGUCAGGAGUAGUGAAAUGCCCAUAAGCAUAAUGCUGUUGCUGCUGUUUUCACAGGCCAUCUCUGAGAGCAGCUGAAGUUGCAUGUUUUUCUGGCUCUGUUGAGAAGUAAUUUGGAAUAGAGCUCCUUUGACUCAAGCAUUGAAGCCAGACCUAAAUGCUUGAGUGAGAUUUCCACACUAGCAUAAACUGAAGCACAUCCAAACAUCUGCUGCUCAACAUGCCUGAGAGUUAUCUUUCACCCUGCUGCCAGAUUCCUUGGUGCCACAUAUAGAUUUGUAGUCCACUCUGUGGAUUUCUUUUCCUUUUUCCUCUGCUGUGCUCUUCUGAUCAUCCUCUAAUGGACCUGAACCUCUGUCAAAUACAUCUCUUUGCCACUGUGGGCAAACCAUUUGUCUUGAAUGGUGUAUAUCUGCUUGUUUUUUCCCAGAGAACUCUCUUUCUGACUACUAAUACAUGGUUUCUGGUACUGGAGCAUGUGCAGGACAGCAAUGUUCUUGUAGACUGGAGCUCAUUAAGGAUAUUGGUUUGGGGUGAACUAUGGUAACUGGAUUGAACUGUUGCUCCCAGAUCCCUGUGUCUACAUGACUUUGUUCCAAGGAAUUGCUGAGACAACCAAGGAAAGAGUGUAGCUGCUCUAGGCUACCUUUUGCAGUUGAUGAGGUGAGCAGAACAUCAGAGAAUGGUCUGGGGGUGUCCUGUAGUGCUCUUAGCUGUUUUUGUUGACUCACCUCCUGAUGUGGCUGCCUUUGGUAGUUGCAGAGAUGUGCCUGGGAGGGAUGCAGACAGAUGAGGCAACAGGCAGAGUAGAGAGCUUCAGAUGAGUUAUUUGCAUCCAGACAAGGAAAGGGAAAAUAAAAGGACCUUGUGUCACAGUUCAGGGGCUGUCGGGGUUGUAUCAUACUGUCACUGUAGAGUUCAGUGGAUGACAGUUGUUUUGCUUUAAAAAUGGGAGAGUGAACAGUUUUAUUUAACUAAGAGUUAUGGAGAAGUCCAGUAUCCAUCUGACAACAAUCAUGGCAAGAGAAAAGGCUGUUUUUUGCUGCAUGAGCUGUAUGUGAUUAUAGUUCUCUUCUUCCUUUAUCUAUGCAGGUAGCAUACAUGUCAGCACGUAGCUCCAAAACCUACCAUCUUCAUGAGUUGUGUUUAUAGUUAUACACUUAUUAAAUGAUUGUGUGCACUCGUACUCAGACUAUUAUAAAUCCAUUACUUUCCUGAGGCCAUAGGAAAUGGUUUUAAAAUGUGAAGCUUUUCUGCAGGGAAUUGAGAGAGAGCAAUACUAAAGCAGUGUACUUGGUUCACACAGAUCAAUGUAGUGCAAUAACUGGGAUGAGAAACCAAGCUUAAAACAUUACCAAUGUGAUUGGAUGAAAGCUUAACAUGGCGUUGAGUAAUGUCUCAUUAUAAGUAAAAUCUCUUAAACCACCUUUGGGGGGGAAGACAAAGCAAACUGCUUAGUAGCAAAUCAUAAGAUAGAAAUGAUGGUGCUUGCACUUGAAACUGAACUCUGGGUAGUACAAGCACAGUAGCAGUGAAACAUCAAGUUUGGCUGCCUUAUUUUCAAAAUGAUGGUGGUGAUGUUAGCCCAAGUCUUGGGAUGGGAGAUAUCAGGAGGUUUUAGAUAUUUUUGAUCUUUCCAUGAGAACUUUCAUGAAGACAUUCUCUUCAUCACUAACUUAAUUUCUCUGUCUGGAAAAAAAGUUUUCCAAAACUGACAUCUUACUAUCUGAGAAGAGAAAACAACAUCAACAAUAACAAACAACCACAAAGAAAUCAAUAUUUCAGUUGAGAUUUAGAAUUAGUAAGUUAAGUUCCCACUGGGUUCAAACACUCAGGCACAAAUGUUACCCAACGUGCAUUGGAUUUACCUGUGUUUUUAAGACCACGGUUUAAUAGUUCAUCCCAGCACAGAAAGGCACACUGUACAGCUUAGUGUCGUCUUAGUUUUUUACGUGAAUUUAUAUUAAGCUGAAAAUAAAUAUAAAUGACAGGAAAUGUUUCCUCUUCUAAAGCUCUGAGCCACUUACAGGAAUAAUUUUGAGGGAAAGGAGAAGGGAGGGUUUAUAAUAUCUCAGACGUCUGUCAUUAUCUGGCUUGUACAGCUGGAAGCUCACUUGUGAUUAAGUCAGUAAAAUGAAGAUGGUCGUCACUGAAAUGGUGGCCAUUCAUUUGCCCAAUUUUAAGUUAAGAAAAUUAGCACUGAUUAGCAAUGGAUAGGAAAUUCCUGAAAAGAUCCUGUCUGGGGAAGUGGAUUACAUCUCCAUCCCAGGAAGGACAUUGAAGAAUGCAGUUUCUUUGAAAAGCAUAAAACUGUAUUUAAAAAAAAAAAAAAAAUAAUUCAAAGAAAUAAAAUAUCAUCCACUCAUCAGAUCUUCAGUCAGCUUUUCAGCACUCCAUUUAUUAUUAUUUGCCAUCUGGUGUAGCCCUUUAUCUCCCAAAGCAACAGGGAGUAUUCUUCUGGAGCAGGCACACAGCAGCGGCCGUCAUAUGCUAACCGCUUCUGACUGGCGAUCCUAGGGAGCCUGAUUGUUUGAGGCAAAUAAUCUCUCCAAGGACUGCAUGAUUUAUUCCCUGCAUUUGGGUUGCAAGGUUUUUGGAGAGGAAAAAAAAAUUCUUCCAUGUCAUUUACAAUGGACCUCACUCCAAUGAAUGAACAUCUUCUUGCAUAAUAGGAGUGCAGCUUAUCAAAUAAUAAAACCCUGCCACUCUAAAUUGCUGGGAACGGGAACAAUCCAGACGACGUUAAUUCCUAUGUCCACUUUGUCAUGCCAUGAAUUCUUCAGUGGUUUGUGUGUGUGUAGGACCAUGCCUGUCAGCAGGGAAGAGCUU